rnacentral:misc_RNA from 1 species
UCCGGUUUGUCACCGGCAGUCUCGCAUGAGUCCCCAACUAAAUGCUGGCAACAUAGAACGAGGGUUGCGCUCGUUGCGGGACUUAACCCAACAUCUCACGACACGAGCUGACGACAACCAUGCACCACCUGUGAACCAGCCCCAAAGGGGAAGGACUGUUUCCAGCCCGGUCCGGUCCAUGUCAAGCCUUGGUAAGGUUCUUCGCGUUGCGUCGAAUUAAGCCACAUGCUCCGCCGCUUGUGCGGGCCCCCGUCAAUUCCUUUGAGUUUUAGCCUUGCGGCCGUACUCCCCAGGCGGGGAACUUAAUGCGUUAGCUGCGGCACGGACCACGUGGAAUGUGACCCACACCUAGUGCCCAACGUUUACGGCAUGGACUAC